rnacentral:rRNA from 1 species
GAUGAACGCUGGCGGCGUGCCUAAUACAUGCAAGUCGAGCGAACAGACGAGGAGCUUGCUCUUCUGACGUUAGCGGCGGACGGGUGAGUAACACGUGGAUAACCUACCUAUAAGACUGGGAUAACUUCGGGAAACCGGAGCUAAUACCGGAUAAUAUAUUGAACCGCAUGGUUCAAUAGUGAAAGACGGUUUUGCUGUCACUUAUAGAUGGAUCCGCGCCGCAUUAGCUAGUUGGUAAGGUAACGGCUUACCAAGGCGACGAUGCGUAGCCGACCUGAGAGGGUGAUCGGCCACACUGGAACUGAGACACGGUCCAGACUCCUACGGGAGGCAGCAGUAGGGAAUCUUCCGCAAAGGGCGAAAGCCUGACGGAGCAACGCCGCGUGAGUGAUGAAGGUCUUCGGAUCGUAAAACUCUGUUAUUAGGGAAGAACAAAUGUGUAAGUAACUAUGCACGUCUUGACGGUACCUAAUCAGAAAGCCACGGCUAACUACGUG